rnacentral:rRNA from 1 species
UACAGAGGUCUCAAGCGUUGUUCGGAUUCAUUGGGCGUAAAGGGUGUGUAGGUGGCGCGCUAAGUCGGGUGUGAAAUUUCGGAGCUUAACUCCGAAACUGCAUUCGAUACUGGCGUGCUUGAGGACUGGAGAGGAGACUGGAAUUCAUGGUGUAGCAGUGAAAUGCGUAGAGAUCAUGAGGAAGACCAGUGGCGAAGGCGGGUCUCUGGGCCAUUCCUGACGCUGAGACGCGAAAGCGUGGGGAGCAAACAGG